rnacentral:rRNA from 1 species
UACGUAGGGGGCAAGCGUUGUCCGGAAUUAUUGGGCGUAAAGAGCGUGUAGGCGGCCAGAUAAGUCCGCUGUGAAAUCUCGAGGCUCAACCCUGGGAUGCCGGUGGAUACUGUCGGGCUCGAGUCCGGAAGAGGAGUGUGGAAUUCCUGGUGUAGCGGUGAAAUGCGCAGAUAUCAGGAGGAACACCAAUGGCGAAGGCAGCACUCUGGGACGUGACUGACGCUGAGACGCGAAAGCGUGGGGAGCAAACAGG